rnacentral:lncRNA from 13 species
UGACAAACGUUCUUUCUGAUGUCAUCUCAUGACCCAACCCUUUAACCCCCACCCCGCAGCACAUACUUGUUUUGUUUUGGAGAAGCCUCUCCCACUACCCUCCAUCCUGCUCGGUUCAGACUGGAUGCCUUCUGCUCCUGCUGUGCGCAGUGGCUAUACUGAGACUUUCCUCGUGUUCUUUCCUUGAUCCUGGUUGGGGUCAGGGAAAGCGGGUGGAAUUGAUGCAGGAGGGAGAUUAAUUUGAGUAAGCAGAAGAACGUGCCUGAAUGCACUGCACUUGAAAUUGAAGUAACAUUCUUAGGAUUAGGGUCAAGGUUAAGCUAAGUGCUAUGAGGUACACGAUUCAUAGAAACAAACCUUUCCUGCACUUCAGAUAAAUGGGAACACACGGCCAGCCCCAGUGGCCAAGAUCUGUCUGGAAGACCGAACAGACACUUACCACCUUGUAUGCUACCUUCUCCUCUUCUAGCCCAUCCAGAGGAUGCCCUUCACAUGCUCAGAGCUUUGGAAGCAAACCAGAGCAUCCAGCUAUGACCUUCCAAUCCCCUGAGGGGACUUUAGGAUCUGAUUUAAGGUGUCUUGUGAGCCAUUCUCAGUUCAAAUGUUGUCCCAGAUGUGUCUUUCAAAACCCAUUGGUACAGCCAGGAAGUUUAACUCGGAGGAAAAGCAAGCUUAGAAAAUAG